UACGUAGGUGGCAAGCGUUGUCCGGAAUUAUUGGGCGUAAAGCGCGCGCAGGCGGUCCUUUAAGUCUGAUGUGAAAGCCCACGGCUCAACCGUGGAGGGUCAUUGGAAACUGGGGGACUUGAGUACAGAAGAGAAGAGUGGAAUUCCACGUGUAGCGGUGAAAUGCGAAGAGAUGUGGAGGAACACCAGUGGCGAAGGCGACUCUUUGGUCUGUAACUGACGCUGAGGCGCGAAAGCGUGGGGAGCGAACAGG
rnacentral:rRNA from 1 species